CAAUUGGCUAAAGAUUGUAUCCUCCCCUAGGACCCUGCCAAGUUUCUGAACCUGCUGGUGAAGGUGGUGCAGCUUCCCAAGCCACGUCCAGGACUGAGGCUCUGGGAGAUGCUGAGGGUGUGUCUGCAGGGAGGACUUCUCCAGUUCCUUUGCUGAUUCCUACAGAGAAGCCUGGCAACCAUGGCAGGGGUCCUCCAAGGGGGAAGGACCAAGCCACAGGACACCACAAACCCCAUGAUCCAUCCGAAAACAUGAGGCAAAUGCUGAAGGAAAUGCAGCAGGCAGGAGAAGGUGGGUGCAUUUCCCUCAUGCUUCCCCUGGGACUCAGC